AAGUAACACAGGUAACAAAAAGAAAGUAAUGCAAGUAACACAGGGAACAAGUAAAGAAAGUAAUGCAAGUAAAGUAACACAGGGAACAAUAAAAGAAAGUAAUGCAAGUAAAGAAAGUAAUGCAAGUAAAGUAACACAGGGAACAAGAAAAGUAAGUACUGCAAGUAAAGUAACAGGGAACAAGUAAAGAAAGUAAUGCAAGUAAAGUAACAAGGAACAAGUAAAGAAAGUAAUGCAAGUAAAGAAAGUAAUGCAAGUAAAGUAACACAGGGAACAAGUAAAGAAAGUAAUGCAAGUAAAGUAACACAGGGAACAAGUAAAGAAAGUAAUGCAAGUAAAGUAACACAGGGAACAAGUAAAGAAAGUAAUGCAAGUAAAGUAACAGGGAACAAGUAAAGUAACAGGGAACAAGUAAAGAAACUACUGCAAGUAAAGUAACAGGGAACAAGUAAAGUAACACAGGGAACAAGAAAAGUAAGUACUGCAAGUAAAGUAACAGGGAACAAGUAAAGAAAGUAAUGCAAGUAAAGUAACAAGGAACAAGUAAAGAAAGUAAUGCAAGUAAAGAAAGUAAUGCAAGUAAAGUAACACAGGGAACAAGUAAAGUAAGUACUGCAAGUAAAGUAACAGGGAACAAGUAAAGUAACACAGGGAACAAAAAGAAAGUAAUGCAAGUAACACAGGGAACAAGUAAAGUAACGGAACAAGUAAAGAAAGUAAUGCAAGUAAAAGUAACACAGGGAACAAGUAAAGAAAGUAAUGCAAGUAAAGUAACAGGGAAUAAGUAAUGCAAGUAAAGUAACGGAACAAGUAAAGAAAGUAAUGCAAGUAAAGUAACAGAACAAGUAAAGAAAGUAAUGCAAGUAAAGUAACACAGGGAACAAGUAAAGAAAGUAAUGCAAGUAAAGUAACAGGGAACAAGUAAAGUAACAGGGAACAAGUAAAGUAACACAGGGAACAAGAAAAGUAAGUAAUGCAAGUAAAGUAACAAGGAACAAGUAAAGAAAGUAAUGCAAGUAAAGAAAGUAAUGCAAGUAAAGUAACACAGGGAACAAGUAAAGUAAGUACUGCAAGUAAAGUAACACAGGGAACAAGUAAAGUAAGUACUGCAAGUAAAGUAAGUACUGCAAGUAAAGUAACAGGGAA
ensembl:lncRNA